GACGAACGCUGGCGGCGUGCUUAACACAUGCAAGUCGAACGGAAAGGCCUUUUCGGAGGUACUCGAGUGGCGAACGGGUGAGUAACACGUGGGUGAUCUGCCCUGCACUCUGUGAUAAGCCUGGGAAACUGGGUCUAAUACCGGAUAGGACCGCACUUUAGUGUGUGUGGUGGAAAGUUUUUUCGGUGUAGGAUGAGCCCGCGGCCUAUCAGCUUGUUGGUGGGGUAAUGGCCUACCAAGGCGGCGACGGGUAGCCGGACUGAGGGGUUGGUCGGCCACAUUGGGACUGGGAUACGGCCCAGACUCCUACGGGGGGCAGCAGUGGGGAAUAUUGCACAAUGGGCGGGAGCCUGAUGCAGCGACGCCGCGUGGGGGAUGACGGCCUUCGGGUUGUAAACUCCUUUCGCCAGGGACGAAGCGUUUUGUGACGGUACCUGGAGAAGAAGCACCGGCUAACUACGUG
rnacentral:rRNA from 1 species